rnacentral:rRNA from 1 species
GAUGAACGCUGGCGGCGUGCCUAAUACAUGCAAGUCGAGCGAACAGACGAGGAGCUUGCUCCUCUGACGUUAGCGGCGGACGGGUGAGUAACACGUGGAUAACCUACCUAUAAGACUGGGAUAACUUCGGGAAACCGGAGCUAAUACCAGAUAAUAUAUCGAACCGCAUGGUUCAAUAGUGAAAGACGGUUUUGCUGUCACUUAUAGAUGGAUCCGCGCCGCAUUAGCUAGUUGGUAAGGUAACGGCUUACCAAGGCAACGAUGCGUAGCCGACCUGAGAGGGUGAUCGGCCACACUGGAACUGAGACACGGUCCAGACUCCUACGGGAGGCAGCAGUAGGGAAUCUUCCGCAAUGGGCGAAAGCCUGACGGAGCAACGCCGCGUGAGUGAUGAAGGUCUUCGGAUCGUAAAACUCUGUUAUUAGGGAAGAACAAAUGUGUAAGUAACUAUGCACGCCUUGACGGUACCUAAUCAGAAAGCCACGGCUAACUACGUG